rnacentral:rRNA from 1 species
CCUACGGGAGGCUGCAGUGGGGAAUAUUGCACAAUGGGCGCAAGCCUGAUGCAGCCAUGCCGCGUGUGUGAAGAAGGCCUUCGGGUUGUAAAGCACUUUCAGCGGGGAGGAAGGCGUUAAGGUUAAUAACCUUGGCGAUUGACGUUACCCGCAGAAGAAGCAACGGCUAACUCCGUGCCAGCAGCCGCGGUAAUACGGAGGGUGCAAGCGUUAAUCGGAAUUACUGGGCGUAAAGCGCACGCAGGCGGUCUGUCAAGUCGGAUGUGAAAUCCCCGGGCUCAACCUGGGAACUGCAUUCGAAACGGGCAGGCUAGAGUCUUGUAGAGGGGGGUAGAAUUCCAGGUGUAGCGGUGAAAUGCGCAGAGAUCUGGAGGAAUACCGGUGGCGAAGGCGGCCCCCUGGACAAAGACUGACGCUCAGGUGCGAAAGCGUGGGGAGCAAACGGGAUUAGAUACCCGUGUAGUC